AAGGCCUGAUGUGUGUGAGAUUACCCGCUGAAUUUAAGCAUAUAAGUAAGCGGAGGAAAAGAAACUAACUAGGAUUCCCUUAGUAAUGGCGAAUGAACAGGGAUCAGCUCAGUGCCAAAUCGGAAUCACUUGUGGUUCUGAAAUGUGGCUUGAAGGCAGUACCAGUGGCAUCGCGGACGAAAGUCUCUUGGAAAAGAGCGUCAUAGAGGGUGAGAAUCCCGUGAGUCGUUCGCCGUUUGUCACGUACGGUCUGCGUUCUAACGAGUCGCGUUCCUUGGGAUUGGAGCGUAAACGGGUGGUAAAUUUCAUCCAAAGCAAAAUAUAUACUCGAGACCGAUAGCACAAAAGUACCGUGAGGGAAAGGUGAAAAGAACUUUGAGAAGAGGGUUAAAUAGUGCCUGAAAUCGUUGAGAAGGAAGCGGAUGCCGCCGUUGCAUAUGCUGAUUGUAGGAUUGCUGCUCGCUCCUGUCUUCUGCUACUCAUUCACAGACCUGGUCGUGUUGAGCAGUUGUUUGGCAGAUGUUAGUGGUGUUUCCUACUUUCAGUCGUCAGCAUCACUGGCUGAGUGGAAAUAAUCCUUGGAUGCUAAUUGGUUCGCUAUCUGUGAAUUGGUUGCUUCCUUGCGAUACUCACUACUCGGUCAGUGAGGAAGUGCGUUUGCUGGUCAACGAGCUUUCUAACUGUCAUUACCCUGCGCUUUUCGAUUCGUCGAGUGGCCAGGAUGUGGCUUUGAGAUUGUUCGCACUUAGUAAUCGCGAUGCUGGCUUCCAACGGUUGCCUCCGGCCCGUCUUGAAACACGGACCAAGGAGUCUAACGUAUGUGCGAGUGUGUGAGUGGCAAACUUAUACGCGUAAUGAAAGUGAGGCCGUAUGGCCAUGUUGGGGUCACCAACCAACCGACCUUGAUCUUCGGUGAAAGGUUUGAGUAUGAGCAUAUCC
rnacentral:ncRNA from 1 species